rnacentral:tRNA from 1 species
GAGGAUAUAGCUCAGUGGUGGAGCAUGUGCUUAGCAUGCACAAGGUCCUGGGUUCAAUCCCCAGGACCUCU